rnacentral:rRNA from 1 species
GUGGGGGAUAUUGCACAAUGGGCGCAAGCCUGAUGCAGCGACGCCGCGUGAGGGAAGACGGUCUUCGGAUUGUAAACCUCUGUCAUCGGGGACGAUAAUGACGGUACCCGAUGAGGAAGCACCGGCUAACUACGUGCCAGCAGCCGCGGUAAUACGUAGGGAGCAAGCGUUGUCCGGAAUUACUGGGUGUACUGGGAGCGUAGGCGGGAAGGCAAGUUGUAUGGUUAAUCUAUGGGCUCAACCCAUAUCAGAGUUCAAAACUGAGUUUCUUGAGUGAAGUAGAGGUUGGCGGAAUUCCUAGUGUAGCGGUGAAAUGCGUAGAUAUUAGGAGGAACACCAGUGGCGAAGGCGGCCAACUGGGCUUUUACUGACGCUGAGGCUCGAAAGCGUGGGGAGCAAACAGGAUUAGAUACCCUAGUAGUCC